GAUGAACGCUGGCGGCGUGCCUAAUACAUGCCAGUCGAGCGAACAGAUGAGGAGCUUGCUCCUCUUACGUUAGCGGCGGACGGGUGAGUAACACGUGGAUAACCUACCUAUAAGACUGGGAUAACUUCGGGAAACCGGAGCUAAUACCGGAUAAUAUAUUGAACCGCAUGGUUCAAUAGUGAAAGACGGUUUUGCUGUCACUUAUAGAUGGAUCCGCGCCGCAUUAGCUAGUUGGUAAGGUAACGGCUUACCAAGGCAACGAUGCGUAGCCGACCUGAGAGGGUGAUCGGCCACACUGGAACUGAGACACGGUCCAGACUCCUACGGGAGGCAGCAGUAGGGAAUCUUCCGCAAUGGGCGAAAGCUUGACGGAGCAACGCCGCGUGAGUGAUGAAGGUCUUCGGAUCGUAAAACUCUGUUAUUAGGGAAGAACAAAUGUGUAAGUAACUAUGCACGUCUUGACGGUACCUAAUCAGAAAGCCACGGCUAACUACGUG
rnacentral:rRNA from 1 species